rnacentral:rRNA from 1 species
UAUUCGGAGAGUUUGAUUCUGGCUCAGAACGAACGCUGGCGGCGUGGAUAAGACAUGCAAGUCGAACGGAGGAUUUUUAGAGCUUGCUUUGAAAAUCCUUAGUGGCGAACGGGUGAGUAACACGUGAGUUACCUGCCCCGAAGCGGGGGAUAGCCCGAAGAAAUUCGGAUUAAUACCCCAUGUGCUCGUAAGAGUAAAGACGGUGUAAGCUGUCGCUUUGGGAUGGGCUCGCGGCCUAUCAGCUUGUUGGUGAGGUAAUGGCUCACCAAGGCUAUGACGGGUAGCUGAUCUGAGAGGAUGAUCAGUCACACUGGAACUGAGACACGGUCCAGACACCUACGGGUGGCAGCAGUCGAGAAUCAUUCGCAAUGGGCGCAAGCCUGACGGUGCGACGCCGCGUGGAGGAUGAAGGCCCUAGGGUCGUAAACUCCUGUCAUCAGGGAGUAAUGGCUCGUGAAGUAACUAUCACGGGUCUUGAUAGUACCUGAAGAGGAAGGGACGGCAAACUUCGUGCCAGCAGCCGCGGUAAUACGAAGGUCCCAAGCGUUGUUCGGAUUUACUGGGCGUAAAGAGUCUGUAGGCGGUAGAGUAAGUCAGAUGUGAAAUCCCGGGGCUCAACCCCGGAACGGCAUCCGAUACUGCUUUACUUGAGGGUUGGAGGGGAGUCUGGAAUUCUCGGUGUAGCAGUGAAAUGCGUAGAUAUCGAGAGGAACACUAGUGGCGAAGGCGAGACUCUGGACAACACCUGACGCUGAGAGACGAAGGCCAGGGGAGCGAAAAGGAUUAGAUACCCUUGUAGUCCUGGCAGUAAACGGUGCACGCUUGGUGUGGGAAGGUUCGACCCUUUCUGUGCCGGAGCUAACGCGUUAAGCGUGCCGCCUGGGGAGUACGGUCGCAAGAUUAAAACUCAAAGAAAUUGACGGGGACCCGCACAAGCGGUGGAGCAUGUGGCUUAAUUCGAUGCAACGCGAA